CGCCUACCCAGCCAUGCAGAACUACUGUCAUUCCAGACCAUUACAGAGUGAAGAGAAGUUAUUCUAUUUUUAAGGACCGCCAAAGUAGAUUCCACUGUCUUCACAACCUAUUCUGGUGUCUACGAGCUCUCAGCAUUGGCAAGUUUUCCUUGGGAUCUAACAAAAUUCUGUCCAUAGAAGCUCAGGCCAGCCAGCCAGCCAUGGGAGCCAGAGAAAACUUCCACCACCCCAGAUAAAAUCUACCUCAGAUUUUCAAGAUGGUCCGUAAACCUCUGGAGCCAUGAUAAUCCUAAUUUCCACAGCCUCCUUUGGCAUUUGGAGAGUUUGCUGUGGAAGCUCAAUGCUGAACUUCCCCUCAUAGGGAGACCUCUUCACCCACCAGAGAGGAGGGAAGCCAGCACCAAACAGCGCUUCAGCCUUGCUGAGUUUAGAGGGUGAGGGGGUGAGCGAGCCAUUGUCCCGGUGCCCACAGAGGCCUGCCCGCUCACACCCUGGGCCUGCCAGCUGCUGUUGCUGCCCCCACCCCUCUCAGCACCCUCCCCUCCAUGUCGAGGGACUGGCCCUCCCCCGCCCCAAGAGUGCCUUCCGGCCUUCAAGGAAUAGAGGCCAGAAGUAUCAAGGAAACAUGGCCUCACCCAAGAGGAAAAGGAAGCUCAAAAACCAGGCCAGAGGGUGAGGUGGUGCUGGGGCAUAGGAUGCAUCUGGCCGUCACAUUACUGAGGGAGGAAGGGAGAAAAGGAAACCAAGUGCUGGUGGCCUGAAGGCUGCCCAGCCUCAGCGAUUUCUUCACACAUGCCUCUGAUUGCCCUGACCGAGGUUCAAAACCGGCUUGAAAAUUGCUUCCAGCUCACAUUCUGAUUCCAAUAUAAAGGUAACACAUGAAAGACAGUGGAAAUGAUGACCAGGCAGGACCCUGAAAAACAAACAUUUGUGAGUAAAAACUGUCUGCGUGGGGAUAGACUGCCUGUACUGAAAGAGUAGCCUCGGCUGUAUGCACAGUUUAGGCGUUCACGGAUUCCCCCAGGCCUGCGGGGAGGAUGGGCUCCAGAGUGCAAGGCAUGUUAACUAGCACAGCUGUGGGUAGAAAGAGCACUGAUCUUAACGAGAAAGGUCUGGGUUCCACCCCAAUCUCUGGGAAGGCACUGGGAGUCUGUUUUCUAGGCUAGAUCAGUGUUUCCACUGAUGGAUUCCUAUUUUGUGCCCCAAAAUGUCAUGUUCCCUCCACAUGUGGAGUAGCAUCUUCUAUGGUGAGCUGGCUUCAAAAGAUAAAUAUAAGACAAAAUGAUUGCUCAUGUAAAAGUUUCCCUUUAAAACUUCUUAAAUUACUGACAAAUACAGAAAUACACUCUAUCAUGAGAGGUUUGGGCAAGAGCUGAAACCCACUGAGGGGAAGCAGUCACAUCCACCAAUCUGUGCUCAGCCUGGGCAUCCAUCCCUUCAUGGAGCCAAAUCACCAACUCUAUUAAAAGACUGUGGGAUCCCAGCACUUUGGGAGGCCAAGGUGGGCAGACCACCUGAGGUCAGGAGUGCAAGACCAGCCUGAUCAACGUGGUGAAACCCCAUCUCUACUAAAAAUACAAAAUUAGCCAGGCGUGGUGGCACAUGCCUAUAGUCCCAGCUACUCGGGAGGCUGAGGCAGGAGAAUCCCUUGAACCCAGGAGGCGGAGGUUACGGUGAGUCGAGAUUGCACCAUUGCACUCCAGCCUGGGUGACAGAGUGAGACUCUGUCUCAAAAAAAAAGAUGGUGGUUUAAUUUCUGUUUUGCUGUUUGUAAGAAUUUCUUUUUUCUCUUUUUCUUUUCUUUUUGUUUUGCUAAACCCACAGAGUCAUGUUUGCAUAGGUUCAAUAUGCAUAUAAUGCAACUCAAUCCUAAAUAUAUUUUUAAAUAUAUGUUGAUUUUUAAAAUAUAUUAUGGGUCCAGCUGCAGUGGCUCAUGCCUACAAUCCCAGCACUUUGGGAGGCCGAGGUGGGAGGAUUGCUUGAGACCAGGAGCUGGAGACUGGCCUGGGCCACAUAGUGAGACCCCCAUCUCUACAAAAAAAAUAGCUGGGCAUGCUGGUGCACACCUGUAGUCCCAGCUACUCAGGAGGCUGAGGCAGGAGGAUUGCUUGAGUCCAGGAGUUCAAGGCUGCAGUGUACUAUGAUUGUGACAUUGCACUCCAGCCUGGGCUACAGAGCUAGACCCCAUCUCUUAAGAAAAAAUAGAUUAUGGUAAAUGUGACUGGAAACUCAUGAAAGUUUUUCUAUGAAUUUGUGUUUUAUUCAUUGUAACAACAUUCAUGCACAUUUACAAAAGAAAGAAAUGAUAUACAUGUGUGGUGAGAUACGUGAAUUAUCCAGGCAUAGAUGAUGCUAGAUGCAGAGGGAUUAGCUGGCCUCUGGCAGUGCAGCUGAGGUGGUCAAAUGGGAGCCAAAUGAAUAAAAUGGCCUAAAUAAUGCACAGCUUGAAAUCUUGAUGCAUCUGUGGUCUCAACACAAGUCCAUGCUCAUUUCAACUCCAUGCUUAUACUUGGCUUUCAGCUCACAUUUCAGAAAACUAAUUUUGAACAAGGGAGAUUGAAAUUAUUUUUAUUUAGC
rnacentral:lncRNA from 1 species